UGUACGUCUUGAAAUACUAACACCCAAAACAGUGUCCUGCUUCCUGCUAUUACUAAAUGGUGAAUGAAAGCUACAGGCCACAUCCCUUCAGGUCCUAACGCCAUACGAGGGUGGAGGAGCACUGGUCACUCUGAGGAGACACCUGGCGCUGGAUAACAGCUGAAGGAGUUGGGCCCGAGGACGGGGCUGGACCUGAGAUGUGUCUUCAUGCAUCCGAGGGGCUGGCCUGAGCAAGAGCAGUUAGACCUGAGCUCUGAGGCCUCCUAGGAUCAGACACAGGGCCAACGGGUGAAAGACUCAAGAAAGUGAUUUCUACUGGUUCUCAGAAGGGAUUUUCUUACCGCCAGUAGAAUCAGCUCCUUGGCAGCCAGUGGGGCCACAGACUUCAUGGACAGGGCACUGACUUUGGAGUUUCUCUGGGCUCUACGUCAGCCACAGUGCACACCAUUCUCUUGAGGAAACUGAGGCUCAAGAACUACCUUGGUUCCUGGAGAAGACCAGGUGGAAUACUUACACCUGGAAAGGCACAGAGAAAGAAUGCAAGUUCCACCAAGAAGGACUUUUGUUUCCUAAAUCCAGAUCUUUUACAACAUCUGCAAGCCUUUCGAGAUGAAUAAGGAGGUUUGGGGAUUAGUGAAAGGAUGGGUGGGCUUUG
rnacentral:lncRNA from 1 species